rnacentral:rRNA from 1 species
UGGGGAAUAUUGCACAAUGGAGGGAACUCUGAUGCAGCGACGCCGCGUGAACGAAGAAGGCUUUCGAGUCGUAAAGUUCUUUGAUAAGGGAAGAUAAUGACGGUACCAUAAUAAAAAGCCCCGUCUAACUACGUGCCAGCAGCCGCGGUAAUACGUAGGGGGCUAGCGUUGUCCGGAAUCACUGGGCGUAAAGGGUUCGCAGGCGGAAAUGAAAGUCAGGUGUAAAAGGCAGUAGCUUAACUACUGUAAGCAUUUGAAACUGCAUAUCUUGAGAAGAGUAGAGGUAAGUGGAAUUUUUAGUGUAGCGGUGAAAUGCGUAGAUAUUAAAAAGAAUACCGGUGGCGAAGGCGACUUACUGGGCUCAUUCUGACGCUGAGGAACGAAAGCGUGGGUAGCAAACAGG